ensembl:lncRNA
AGUCAAUUAGCUGGUCUUUACAUGAACAGUCAUAAGAAUGCUCUUCAUGGCUCAGAUCUUGGGAGACACCUGGGUCAGAGAGACUGUCAGCUUCUCUUGGCUUGAAAUCCCUUGUGCUGAGCAGAAUUGCUCCAAGCCGGCAGGCAAAGGGAAGGAGGAGCUCAGGUUCUGCCUGGGAAGGAGGAAGGGAAAUCAGAAGCAGCACAGCAGAAAGGAGCCAGCGCCCAGGCAGAUGGGAGAGCGGGACAGAGCACUGAUGGAUGCUGCAGGGCUGCCACACCAACCAUGUGCCACUGCCAAGGUCCACCGCAGCCUCAACCCAACCCGGACCCAAAUGGUGAAGAGAUCUUCUUGGAAAACACUCCGACAGAGAACGCAGACAGGGAGAAGCUGCUGGGGUCACUCACCCCAGCAAAGCCACGUGCACUGAGAGAGAGAAGCAAAGGAAGGAUGUGAGCAUCCCCAGCACAAACGCAGGACUUGGAGUCUGCCUUUGAGAGAGAGUGAAGGAGCGAGCGAGAUGGCAGUCCUGGAACAAUAGGGGUUAUUUAUAAGGUUGGUUGUUCUUGUGUGCAUUGCAGAUCAUAGCCAAGAGGCAUCUGCCUGAGGUCUGAAUUAGUCACAGCGGGGUUGGGAGGGGAGGUGGGCAGCUGGCUGAAAUCACAAGCCUCCCAGUCACUGGUUUUUCUCUCCUCGGGGUUGCUGGCAUUGUCAGCAAUGGUUUAACCUACUUACAACAAUAAUCCCUGUAAUAAAGGCAUUUUUUAAAUA